AGCCAGCAUGGCAUAGUGGACUGCGUGUUGGACUAGGACUCCAAAAGACCAGGGUUCAAAUUCCCACUUGGCUA